rnacentral:misc_RNA from 1 species
CCGAGUUGAUUCGAGCUUCGGCUCGACUCUCCCACCCUUUGUGUACCUACCUCUGUUGCUUUGGCGGGCCUGCGGUCGGCCUCGUGCCGUCCAGCACCCGCCAGAGGACUACAAAACUCCAGUCAGUAAACGUCUCAGUCUGAAAAACAAGUUAAUAAACU